rnacentral:rRNA from 1 species
UGAGCCAGUAGCGAACGGGUGAGUAACGCGUAAGUACGUGCCUUUCAGAAUGGGAUAUACGCUGGAAACGGUGGGUAAUACCAUAUAAUGUAGAAAUACCAAAGGAGAAAUCCGCUGAAAGAUCGGCUUGCGUCAGAUAUGUAGUUGGUGGGGUAAAAGCUUACCAAGCAAUUAUCUGUAGUUGGUCUGAGAGGAUGAUCAGCCACACUGGAACUGAGACACGGUCCAGACUCC